rnacentral:rRNA from 1 species
ACGUGGAUACCUCGGGAAACUGAGGAUAAACCGCGAUAAGGUCACUACCUCUGGAAUGGGUAAUGACCUUAAAACUCUAUAUGGCACCCUGGAUUGGACUGACGGCGAUCAGGCUGUUGGUGAGAGUAAUGGCCCACCAAACCUGUAACCGGUACGGGCUCUGAGAGGAGGAGCCCGGAGAUGGGCACUGAGACAAGGGCCCAGGACCUAUGGGGCGCAGACAGGCGCGAAAACUCUGCAAUAGGCGAAAGCCUGACAGGGUUACUCUGAGUGAUUUCCGUUCACGGAGAUCUAUUUGGCACCUCUAAAAAUGGUGCAGAAUAAGGGGUGGGCAAGUCUGGUGCCAGC